AUUACUUAUGUAAUAUAGAUCCACCGUUUCAUUUAUUAGCAGUCAUUAGACUGUAUGAUGUUAAAAAAAUUUUUUUCCAACUGAUUAGAUUUUCAUUAUCUGUUUCUUGCUGCUCACUGGACAGCACAAGAAGCAUUACUGUAGCAAGUUCUUGAGUACUUAUGUAGUCUUUCUCUCUAAGUAUCGUAUUUUUAGUUCACCUCUAGGCUAAUACUCUUUUUUUUUUUUUGAUACUGGGGAUCAAACUCAGGUCCUUGCACUUGCGAGGCAGGAGGCAGAACCACUGAGCUAAAUCCCCAUCCCCCAGGCUAAUACUCUUGAGAGUUAAGUUCUAAUCAAGUUUUAUAUAUUCAUUCCCCAAAGUGCUUAUUUCAUUCACUCAGUGGACUGUGGAAGCUAAGGACUCUGGAUAAAGAAAUGGCAGACUAACUUCCUGACCCUUAUCUCCAGGAGCUUUCAUGUCAAGUAUAUGGUAGGCGGUCCACAAAUAAUUACUGAGUGAAUUUAGACCGUGAAAAAUCCCUGAAUGGGCCAGGGAUUUAGCUCAGCGGUUCCGCUGCCUGCCUCGGAAGCUCAAGGUCCUGAGUUUGAUCCCUGGUACAAAAAAAAAAAAUCUCUGAAUGUUUAGAAAUUAAAUAACACACCUCAAAAAAUAGCCCAGGUCCAAAGAUGAAAUUACAGAAUUAGAAAAUAUUUUGAAUUUAGGAAUAAGGAAAAUGCAUGUAUUCAGGUUUGUGAAAUUCAACCAAAGGAGUGCCUAGAGGGAAAAUUGCAGCUUUAUAUGCUCAUAUUAGAAAAGAAGAAGUCUAUAAUCAAGGUCUCACCUUUUAGAAUCUAGAAAUAAAAAGCAAUUAUCCUCUCAAUGAGUUCUGUGAAAGACAAUAGAGUGGAAAUCAAUAAAAUGGGAAAUUUACAAAUGAUAGAGGAAAUAAAUUCAACAAAACAAACACAAUAGAGAAAAUCAAUUACUCGGAGAAACUGUUGAGGGAGGAUAGUCUUUUAUGAAGGUGUUUCUGGAAUGACGAUUUCACUUCGGACCACAGACAUACUCAGAAAUUAAUUUAAAAUAUAGGUCUAAAUGUAAAAGUUAAGACUCUUAAAACUUCCUAAAGAAAACAUUGGAGAAAAAACUGACCUUGGGGGAAGCAAAGAUUUUCUAGAUAGGACACAGAAAGCACUGAAAAUAUUAAAAAAUUGGACUUAAAAACUUCUGCUCUUUCAAAGACACUAUAAAAUGAGAUUACAGACUAGGAGAAAAUUUCUUUGCAGUAGUAUAUGUGAUAAAAAAAAGUCUUAUGUCUGAAACAACAAAUAACUCAACUUAAUAGAGUAGGCUUAAAAGUGAGCAAGAGACACAGACAUCAUAUAGAAGUAUAUGAGUGCUCAAUGUGAACAGAAAUGUCAUCAUUCAGAGAAAUGUAAAUUAAACUGCAAUGAGAUCCCACCAUAACCCUGUUAAAAUGGCUAACAGUGAGAUGUUUGACAAUACCAAAUAUUGGCAAGGAUGUAGAGCAAUUGGAAUUCACCUGCACUGCUUGCUAGUGGAAGCAUAAAUUGGUGCAGGCACUUUGGGCAACUAAGUUUCUUAAACAUGCAUUUAAGAGGAAUGUUAUGGCCCUGCAAGGUUUUAUACCUGAAUGUUGAUAGCAGCUUAAUUCAUCAGAGUCCAGAAUUUGAAAAAAAUCCAAACGUUCACCUACAGGUAAAUAGGUAAGUUAUGGUACAUUUAAACAAUAAAAUUAAAAAAAAGGCAGUGAACUGUUGUUUGCAACAACCUGGGUAAAUCUCAAAACCAUUACAUAUGCUGAGGUUAGGAGGCUUACUUAACAGAUGUAAGCACAUACUUAGAGAUAUAUGAACUUUUAAAAUAAGCAGGGUUUAUCUUUAGUGACAGCAGGUCAGUGAUUGCCUAGGAUCAGAUCUUUUGUUGUUUUUUGGACUGAAUGCAGAGGGACACUUUUUGGAAUAAUGGAAAAAUUUUCAAUUUUGAUGUUGUUUAUAAGAUGUACACAUCUCUCCUUGUAGUCUCUUUUUUUUCUUAUCCCUUCUUUCCUUCUCUUCUCUUCUCUCCCCUCCCUUGUUCCCCUCGUAAUUAAGGAGGGGAAAGGGGCUUGAAGGAGAGGAGGAGAAUGGGGAAAAAAGAAGCAAAAUAUAUCAUGUACAGGUACAGAUUCCCUAUGAUGAUGUUAUCAUUAUGUAUAUCUAAAAUGUACCAAUAAAAAAGG
rnacentral:lncRNA from 1 species